rnacentral:tRNA from 1 species
AAGCCCCGGACACCCUCUGGGGGU